rnacentral:ncRNA from 1 species
GGGUGGCUGUAAAAUAUUGCAGCUUUCACGAGAAAUCGUGAUUGAAAAACCGGGUGAAAUCAGGGAAGCCUACCGCCGCUAUUUUGUUGCCGGCCAUGGUAAUCCUGAGCCAAGCUUUGAUGAUCCGAUAGUCAUCAAAGAAGGUGCAGAGACUAGAGCAAAAGCUCGUACUUCGGAGGAUCUCCGAAGGAAGCGCCCGGCGCCUAACCUCGUUUUCGUCGAGAAGGGCGAAGAGAUAGUCCAAGCCCAGAGGAAACUUUGGG